AAGCGCCGUAUACCGAACGGUACGUACGGUGCUGUGGGAGGGGGAAGCGGUCAGAGACCGCCAACUCUAC
rnacentral:ncRNA from 1 species